GUUUCGAAGUCGAAUUUUUCAGAU
rnacentral:siRNA from 1 species